rnacentral:rRNA from 1 species
GUCGAACGAGGUCCAAGAGAGCUUGCUCUCUGAAGACCUAGUGGCGAACGGGUGAGUAACACGUGAACAACCUGCCCUGGAAUCUGGGAUGACCCGAGGAAACUCGAGCUAAUACCGGAUACCUUCCUCUGAUCGCAUGGUCGGAGGAAGAAAGAAUUUCGUUCCAGGAGGGGUUCGCGGCCUAUCAGCUUGUUGGCGGGGUAACGGCCCACCAAGGCAGCGACGGGUAGCUGGAUUGAGAGAUCGAUCAGCCACACUGGGACUGAGACACGGCCCAGACUCCUACGGGAGGCAGCAGUGGGGAAUCUUGCGCAAUGGGCGAAAGCCUGACGCAGCAACGCCGCGUGCGGGAUGACGGCCUUCGGGUUGUAAACCGCUUUCAGCAGGGACGAAAAUGACGGUACCUGCAGAAGAAGCCCCGGCUAACUACGUGCCAGCAGCCGCG